UAAAGUUUAUUUAUGCACGUGGGUAAC
rnacentral:piRNA from 1 species